rnacentral:rRNA from 1 species
AUUGAACGCUGGCGGCAUGCCUUACACAUGCAAGUCGAACGGUAACAGGUCUUCGGAUGCUGACGAGUGGCGAACGGGUGAGUAAUGCAUCGGAACGUGCCCAGUUGUGGGGGAUAACUGCUCGAAAGAGCAGCUAAUACCGCAUACGACCUGAGGGUGAAAGCGGGGGAUCGCAAGACCUCGCGCAAUUGGAGCGGCCGAUGUCAGAUUAGGUAGUUGGUGGGGUAAAGGCCUACCAAGCCGACGAUCUGUAGUUGGUCUGAGAGGACGACCAGCCACACUGGGACUGAGACACGGCCCAGACUCCUACGGGAGGCAGCAGUGGGGAAUUUUGGACAAUGGGCGCAAGCCUGAUCCAGCAAUGCCGCGUGCAGGAAGAAGGCCUUCGGGUUGUAAACUGCUUUUGUCAGGGAAGAAAUCCUCUGGGUUAAUACCCCGGGGGGAUGACGGUACCUGAAGAAUAAGCACCGGCUAACUACGUGCCAGCAGCCGCGGUAA